rnacentral:rRNA from 1 species
GUGUCAGCAGCCGCGGUAAUACAGAGGGUGCGAGCGUUGUUCGGAAUUAUUGGGCGUAAAGCGCGAGUAGGCGGUCUGUUAAGUCGCGUGUGAAAGCUCCCAGCUCAACUGGGAAAGUGCGCGCGAAACUGGUGGACUUGAGUGCUGGAGAGGGUGGCGGAAUUCCCGGUGUAGAGGUGAAAUUCGUAGAUAUCGGGAGGAACACCAGAGGCGAAGGCGGCCACCUGGAAAGACACUGACGCUGAGAAGCGAAAGCGUGGGGAGCAAACAGGAUUAGAAACCCUCGUAGUCC